rfam:Citrus sinensis cultivar Ridge Pineapple sweet orange scaffold00605_contig_16, whole genome shotgun sequence.
AGUUUAUAAUGUGGGCAUUUUCUUAAUAUGUCUUUGUAUCUCUCCCAUGCUUCAUCUAGUAACUCCAUCUCAAACUGAGCAAAGGUAGUGAUGUCAUUCCUCAACUU